ensembl:snRNA U4 U4 spliceosomal RNA
AGCUUUGCGUGUGGCACUAUCAUAGCCAAUGAGGUUUAUCCGGGGCAUGAUUAUUGCUAAUUGAAAACAAAAUGGAAGACAGGUGACUUUUCCCCUCCCUUGAAUAAACACUUCUUCCACACAUGGA